CCUACGGGGCGCACCAGUAGGGAACCUUCGGCAAUGGACGAAAGUCUGACCGAGCAACGCCGCGUGAGUGAAGAAGGUUUUCGGAUCGUAAAACUCUGUUGGUAGAGAAGAACGUUGGUGAGAGUGGAAAGCUCAUCAAGUGACGGUAACUACCCAGAAAGGGACGGCUAACUACGUGCCAGCAGCCGCGGUAAUACGUAGGUCCCGAGCGUUGUCCGGAUUUAUUGGGCGUAAAGCGAGCGCUGGUGGUUUAUUAAGUCUGGUGUAAAAGGCAGUGGCUCAACCAUUGUAUGCAUUGGAAACUGGUAGACUUGAGUGCAGGAGAGGAGAGUGGAAUUCCAUGUGUAGCGGUGAAAUGCGUAGGUAUAUGGAGGAACACCGGUGGCGAAAGCGGCUCUCUGGCCUGUAACUGACACUGAGGCUCGAGAGCGUGGGGAGCAAACAGGAUUAGAUACCCCAGUAGUC
rnacentral:rRNA from 1 species